UACGGAGGGUGCGAGCGUUGUCCGGAAUCACUGGGCGUAAAGGGCGCGUAGGCGGCUCGGUAAGUAGGGGGUGAAAUCCUGAGGCUCAACCUCAGGGCUGCCCUCUAAACUGCCAGGCUUGAGCACAGUAGAGGCAGGUGGAAUUCCCGGUGUAGCGGUGGAAUGCGUAGAGAUCGGGAAGAACAUCGGUGGCGAAGGCGGCCUUCUGGACAGUGACGUGACGCUGAGACGCGAAAGCGGUGGGGAGCAAACAGGG
rnacentral:rRNA from 1 species